rnacentral:rRNA from 1 species
GACGAACGCUGGCGGCGCGCCUAACACAUGCAAGUCGAACAGAGCUGAGAGAAGCUUGCUUUUCUUAGCUUAGUGGCGAACGGGUGAGUAACGCGUGAGUAACCUGCCCUGGAGUGGGGGACAACAGUUGGAAACGACUGCUAAUACCGCAUAAGCCCACGAUCCGGCAUCGGAUUGAGGGAAAAGGAUUUAUUCGCUUCAGGAUGGGCUCGCGUCCAAUUAGCUAGUUGGUGAGGUAACGGCCCACCAAGGCGACGAUUGGUAGCCGGACUGAGAGGUUGAACGGCCACAUUGGGACUGAGACACGGCCCAGACUCCUACGGGAGGCAGCAGUGGGGGAUAUUGCACAAUGGGGGAAACCCUGAUGCAGCGACGCCGCGUGGAGGAAGAAGGUUUUCGGAUUGUAAACUCCUGUCGUUAGGGACGAUAAUGACGGUACCUAACAAGAAAGCACCGGCUAACUACGUG